rnacentral:rRNA from 1 species
UACGUAGGGGGCAAGCGUUGUCCGGAAUCAUUGGGCGUAAAGAGCGCGUAGGCGGCCCUGUAAGUCCGCUGUGAAAGUCAAGGGCUCAACCCUUGGAUGCCGGUGGAUACUGCAGGGCUAGAGUCCGGAAGAGGCGAGUGGAUUUCCUGGUGUAGCGGUGAAAUGCGCAGAUAUCAGGAGGAACACCGGUGGCGAAGGCGGGUCUCUGGGCCGUAACUGACGCUGAGGAGCGAAAGCAUGGGGAGCGAACAGG